rnacentral:rRNA from 1 species
AUUGAACGCUGGCGGCAGGCCUAACACAUGCAAGUCGAACGAGUGGCGGACGGGUGAGUAAUGUCUGGGAAACUGCCUGAUGGAGGGGGAUAACUACUGGAAACGGUAGCUAAUACCGCAUACCAUCAGAUGUGCCCAGAUGGGAUUAGCUAGUUGGUGGGGUAACGGCUCACCAAGGAGACGAUCCCUAGCUGGUAUGAGAGGAUGACAAGCCACACUGGAAAUGAGACACGGUCCAGACUCAGACGGGAGGCAGAAGUGGGGAAUAUUACACAAGGGGCGAAAGCCAGAGACAGCCAUGCCGCGUGUAUGAAGAAGUCCUUCGGGUUGUAAAGGACUUUCAGCGGGGAGGCGUUACCCGCAGAAGAAGCACCGGCUAACUCCGUGCCAGCCGCCGCGGUAAGAC